rnacentral:rRNA from 1 species
UACAGAGGUCUCAAGCGUUGUUCGGAUUCAUUGGGCGUAAAGGGUGCGUAGGCGGCGCGGUAAGUCGGGUGUGAAAUCUCGGAGCUUAACUCCGAAACUGCAUUCGAUACUACCGUGCUUGAGGACUGGAGAGGAGACUGGAAUUUACGGUGUAGCGGUGAAAUGCGUAGAUAUCGUGAAGGAAGACCAGUGGCGAAGGCGGGUCUCUGGACAGUUCCUGACGCUGAGGCACGAAGGCCAGGGGAGCAAACGGG